AGUUGUAAGCAUUAACUAACCAUUUGUAGUAUUUAGGUGUUAAAUCCAAACUAGAUCUUAUAUACUGAAGCAAAAGGAACACAAGACAAUUUGUAAUCUAAACAAAUCAAAAGAUUUAAGAGUACUCAAAUAACCAAACAACAAAUUUAAAUAGAUCAAUCAAACAAGAAUUAAAUCAAACAACUAAACAGAUAAAAAUUUAAUCAAUUGCUCA
rnacentral:lncRNA from 1 species